rnacentral:lncRNA from 1 species
GUUCAUGAGAUCCAAGAAAAAGAGAGAAAGGCUCAGUGGCAAUGACCAUAGCGAGACCAAAGUCUUGACCAAUCUUACUGAACAACAUCAACAACACAAGGUUAGUAAACUAUAAGAUUAGAAACACAAUAGAACCAUAGCCUUAUAUUUAGUUGUUUGCUUUAAACUUGAUUGAAUGAUGAAUAAUUGCUCUGUUAUGUUCAUGAUUAUGUCAUGUACGACUGCUCAAAAUCACUAAAACGAUCAAAAUAAUAGAACUAAUGAACGUUUUUUGUUUAAAACAAAAGCAAAAUAAAUGUUUGACAACAAAAUAAAAAAAUGUAGCAAAAGGGAAAAGAAAAUAGUUCCAAAUAAAUAUUUGAGUGUAUUUGCAAAACUUACAUAUUCAUCAGCAAGAACCAUUUGAAGGGUCUCUCCGAAUGAGGUGGUUUGUUGCCAGAAAUGAAGCAAUAUGACUUGAGAUCGCCAUUUAGUUUUAAAUGGUUUCACUUUUUUGAGAGAUGUGAAACUUGCAUUGGUUGACAUCGUUUUUUUU